CUCCUUCUCCUCCUUCUCCCUUCCCUGCAGCGCGCUCACAGCCUGGGACUCGCAUCGCCGGCUCCGAAGCGGGCGGUCGACACCCCUCUUCCCUCCCUUUGCCCCCUUUUGCCUUUUUCUGCCCCCCCCACCCCAUCCCCCGCAGCCAUGAGGCGCCCGACCCGCCGCCUGGCGCUGUCUGUGCUGGGGGUGCUCUGGAUCGCCGCUCUCCUCCUCCUCUUCUUCGGGGCGAGGAGGAAGUCGGAGGCGGAGGGACCCGAGAGCCAAACGCCGGAGGGCUCGGAGGCGGACUGGGACGACCUGUGGGAUCAGUUUGAAGAGCGGAGAUACCUGAGCGCUCGGAAGUGGAAGGGCGGAGAGGACCCGUACCGGCUCCAUGCCUUUAACCAGCGGGAGAGCGAGAGGAUGCCCAGUGACCGUGCCGUCCGCGACACCCGCCACCACAGAUGUACAACUCUGCACUACCGCCAGGAUCUCCCUCCCACCAGCAUUGUCAUCACCUUCCACAACGAGGCCAGGUCUACUCUGCUGAGGACCAUUCGGAGUGUGAUGAACCGCACCCCAGUGCACCUCAUCCAUGAGAUCAUACUGGUGGAUGACUUCAGCGACGACCCUGAUGACUGCCGCUUGUUGGCCAAGCUACCUAAGGUGAAGUGCCUGCGGAACAGACAGCGCGAAGGUCUGAUCCGGUCCCGCAUUCAAGGGGCAGAUGUGGCUCAAGCAGGAGUCCUGACCUUCCUGGACAGUCACUGUGAGGUGAAUAAGGACUGGCUGCUCCCGCUGUUGCAGAGGAUCAAAGAGGACCCCACACGGGUGGUCAGCCCUGUUAUUGACAUCAUCAACUUGGACACUUUUGCCUAUGUGGCAGCUUCCUCAGAUCUCAGAGGCGGUUUUGACUGGAGCCUGCAUUUCAAAUGGGAGCAGCUUUCCCCGGAGCAGAAAGCCAAACGACUUGAUCCUACCAAACCCAUUAAGACUCCCAUCAUUGCUGGGGGGCUGUUUGUGAUCGAUAAAGCCUGGUUCAACCACCUGGGGAAGUAUGACAACGCCAUGGACAUCUGGGGCGGGGAGAACUUUGAAAUCUCCUUCCGUGUGUGGAUGUGUGGAGGUAGCCUGGAAAUCAUCCCCUGCAGCCGUGUUGGACACGUCUUCCGGAAGAAACAUCCCUAUGUCUUUCCAGAGGGGAACGCCAAUACGUACAUCAAAAACACCAAGCGCACUGCAGAGGUGUGGAUGGAUGAAUUCAAACAGUACUACUAUGCUGCCCGGCCUGCGGCCCAGGGGAGGCCUUAUGGCAACAUUCAGAGCAGAGUGGAGCUGAGGAAGAGGCUGAAAUGCCACAGCUUCAAGUGGUACCUGGAGAAUGUUUACCCUGAACUUCGGAUUCCUGAGGAAUUGCUAUAUCAGACCGGGAUGAUCAGGCAAAGGCAGAGCUGCCUGGAAUCACACAAGUCUGAAGACCAAGAGCUGCCCAUCUUGAGCUUAAAUCCUUGUAUCACCAGCAAAGGCACAUCAGCAACAGCACAGGCUGAAAAGUGACAAGACGUGAUUAGAAGUGGAUAGAACACUUUCAGCAGGACUGGCUUCCAUAAAAAGCUGUUCUGUCAAAAUAGAAGGGUCUUGUGGAAAUCUGUCAGUUUAGAUAAAAGAGUAGCAGAACAGCCUGGGGGCAAGGGUGGGGGAUCCAAUGUCUGUUGUUGAGCUGAUGCACGUAUCUAGCUUUGUAGGCCUGGCUGCUUAGGAUCAAGAGCUUAGAAAGAGUGGUUAAACCAUCCCGUCUAUCCCAUGGAACCUCGUUGAAUGAGAGGAUGGUCAUUCUUUGAGACAAGAUGACUAAUGGGAUGGCGUGGGUAGAGCCUGGCCUGGAAUUAAGCAUGGAGAACCUCUGGGAGAAGCAGUUCUCUGUGAGAUGCCUCUGAAGCAAGGUAUGGAGGCCAGGGAAUCCACUCCUUGAAUUAUUUGAGGGAUCCAACACAGACACGAGUUGCUUGCUGGUGCUGAGGAGCCUCACAACCACCAUCAAGCUGUGUUCUGAACUAAACGAUGAGCAACUGAUUAAAAAUGUAAAACAGUUUUCAAAGCAGGUUGUAGUAACGUGGGUGCCAAGAGCAGGUGUUGGAAUUCGCCUCUUAAGGCUUGGUUCUUCACAGAUGCAGGCCUAAUUUGGCACGACUUCCCAGACUGACAGUGUGCACAGUUGGGAUGUCUGGAACGCCUUCUCUGUAGGAUCAGGUAAACUCUGUUCCAUCUGACAAAGAAGAAGUAGUUGCCAGAAGGCCCUUGAGUUGCAGAAUGUGGCUCUGAAAAUGAAUGCUUGUUCUAUGAGGAAAUCUUGGGCAGCCCUUGCUGAGAAACCUGUGGGCAGGCUGUUCAGAAAGACGGGCUCAAUUUCUAUUAGCUGAUGGGGAGAAGUAGGCUAAGAAGCAUAGGAUGCAAGGAGCACAGUGUGAAGUCCUUGUAGAUCUGGGUCUGCUGUGCAAAAAUGUGUUUUCCCUUCUAGGUGGCUAAGAACCUGAAUGAAGCAUGAUUUAUAUUAAACGAAUUAAAUGCCUGCACUGUCUGUUUUGAAGUCAGGGAGUGAAGUUUGAAAGUCAUAGCAAAUCAGUGCUGCAAACAUUUGGAGUUCAGUCUUGUUGCAGGUGAAUAAGAAAAACAAGAUCUUGUGAAGUUAGCCUGAGGAAUUUAUUAACUAUAAUCAACAAUUGAACUAGAAAUGGUGAUCAAGCAAUCUGUUACAGUUUCCCAGUGGUCAAACCCUCUCCUGCUUACUACAUGCUUAAUAACUGAGCUGUCUUGAUGCGUACAAAAUGUUACAGGCACAUAGGAGCAUUGCUUACCUUGAUGUGAACAUCAGGGAAGGGAUCUCUCAGCUUCCAGGAAUAGGCUAGAGAGGUAUCCCUGCUCAAAGGAGAGCACUGUGCAGCCCAGUGCCAUACAGGACCGCUCAAUGGGCUCUGGGAGCAGUAAGCAUUUGUAGCAUGAAGCUGCUGACUUGUAGUCAAAUUUUCUACAGUAAGGUACUGUGUUUCUCUCCAUCUCUUAUCAGCAGUGUCUCUGCACAGGAACUCACGUCCUUAGACAAUACAGUUUACAAUGUCUGUGUAACCCACUGGGCUCCAAUGAGGGGUGCCUAUAAGCAGUGCCUGAAGCAGACUCUCGCAGCUCCCACUCUUUUGAUACAAAGGGGAACUUUACCCAUAAGAUUUGUGACCUUUGGGAACAGAAUCCUGAGGAAUUGCAGAUGUCUGCUGUAUGUUACCUCCUGUCUCCUUGUGCCAGCCACAGAGCAUUUCUGUUGCCCUUCCCUGGAAUGAAAAUGAUUGCAUCUUGUGUGGAAUGGACAUACACAUACAACCACCAAGUCCGUCAGCAGCAGCUGUGCUUGUCUGUGUAUACCCUGUUCCCUGGCUCCCCAGUGCUCCUGUCACCUUGCAAAGAAAGUGACAACAAGCAG